rnacentral:rRNA from 1 species
CCUACGGGACGCAGCAGUGAGGAAUAUUGGUCAAUGGGAGAGAUCCUGAACCAGCCAAGCCGCGUGAGGGAAGACGGCCCUAUGGGUUGUAAACCUCUUUUGUCGGAGAACAAAACCCGGGACGUGUCCCGGACUGCGUGUAUCCGAAGAAAAAGCAUCGGCUAACUCCGCGCCAGCAGCCGCGGUAAUACGUAGGGGGCGAGCGUUGUCCGGAAUCACUGGGCGUAAAGGGCGCGUAGGCGGUUUAAUAAGUCAGUGGUGAAAACUGAGGGCUCAACCCUCAGCCUGCCACUGAUACUGUUAGA